UGCCUUAUCUAUUGGCCCUGUGGCUGUCUAGGCAAACCUCUCCUCUGCGUCCCUGGAGGGGCUUGGCCUCAUGACCUGUGUGGCACUCUCAUUGGGGUCACUGAAGUGCCAACCUUCUGCCCAACGCCUCGCUAAGCCUCAGCUCACUCUUGUGCAGCAUGGGGAAGCAUAAACUCAUGGGAGAAAAACCCCAGCCCAGCAGCCGGCUCAGGCCCACGUGUAAAUUACUGAGGAUGACACUCAAAGCCUUCUGUCGUCCAGCUGCCACCUCGCAUCUCCAGUCUCCUGCCUUCCCACCACACUCAUCUUAUCUGCACACAUGCUGCCCGCUCCGCCUAGAAUGUGCUUCUACCAUCUCUGCCUACAAACUUCUACUCAUCCUUCAAGACCCUACUCAGCUGCACCUCCCUUUUGCAGCCUUCAAUGACUGUUAGUCAGGGCUCUUCAAGUUGUAAUCCACAAAAGCCUCGUUCCGUCUGGUUUAUGCAGAAAAGUGACAUUUUGGCUUUUGAAACUGAAAGUGGGCUUCCUGCCUGGAGUCCGGUCAUGGCUCUCCCGCUCUGGGUGCUGGCUUCCUCUGACUUGUUUUCAUUUUCCAGCAGGCUCACUCCAUGUGGUAACCAGAUGAUCACCAGCAGCUCCAGCCUCACGUCCUACCCAUGAGCAGCCCCAGCAGAAUGAGGGCAUCUCUGACCCGGGAGUUCCAAGACAAGGCCCCAGGUUUAUUUUCACUGGCCUGGAUUGGGUCCCAUGCCUGCCCCUGCACCAGUCACUAGCAUUUUGAGGGAGGGGGUGCCCUGAUGACAGCAAGGGGAGAAUAGUAUGUUAUCAGGAAUGCGCUGAUAGGCCAGACAGCCUGGGGCAUGUGCCCAUUCCUGGAGCCUGGGGACGGGGCCAGCCCAACCCAAACCGCAUGGAGUGAGAGCAGAGGAGGUGUGAUUCCCAAAGGGAAGUCAGGGAGCAAGCACCAGAUGGAAGAAUGGAAACUCAGCAAGAAGAACCUGCAGCACCCAGCCUUAACCGGGUUAGGACCCCUCCUCUCCGCUUCGGAAGGCUCCGAGUCCCCCUUUUCAGACAUGACAGUCCCUGCAUGGCACCUGGCUUUGCACACGUCUGACAUGGCUGCAGAACGUGAGUUCCUCCAGGGUAGUGACGACAGCCUAGCCGAGUCUAGGCUAGGGCAGGUUUCUCCCUCACUGGAGAAACGGCACCAUAAUCUUUCUUGGGGCAAAGUGGUCUUUGUAUCAAGAAUACCUGCGAAAGGUGAGCGCCCCAGGACGGCAGGAAUGAAUGAGGAGAGAAGAGACAGGGAAACAGCUCUGUGUGAUCAAGUCGGGAGUUUGGCAGCCCAACAAGGAGCUGGCAGGAAGGCCUGAGAAGGAGGAGAAGAGAGGAAGCUCAGGAACAUCUUGGGAGGCGGACUCGAGGCCAAGAGAUAGUUAGUGAGUCUCCCAAAGGCGGGAAGAAGAGAGAGCGUCAGAGCUGGUGCUGGCUGGGCCGGCUGCACCCUUCUGACUCCUCCAAUGUUUAGGAAACAUCCGCUACACUCAACAGCCUGUGUGCCGGCUGAUCUUGAGAAUCAAGGGGAAAAUGCUCGUUUUCUCUAUAGACCCCACACAGGGCAGAGAAAAGAAACCACACACAGGUGGAAAGACAGCGAGAGCAAGAAUUCGGUGGAAAUGUACUAAACGCCACUGAACUGUACACUUAAAGGUUAAAAUGGCUGAUGCUGGUUGGUGGCUGUCUUCCAAGUGGUGACUCAGGAGCCCAGGCUGCUUCCAUCUUGCAACUCCCCCAUCUCAGAGUCCUUCACUCCAGAAGCCUGGAGGAGAGAGCCAGAGUGUGGAGAAGGCCUUGGACUGCCCUGGACCCAAAGGGCCGUAUCAAUUCCACUUGCAUUUCCAUUGGCCAGAAGGUCAUCACAUGGUCCCGGCUGAACCGCAAAGGAGGCUGGGAAAUGUCAUCUCCUGUGUUCCCAGGAAUCGAAAAUGGGCUAAAUGCACAGCAUUGUUUCUACCAUAUUGUAUAAGAAGUAAAAUGUAAUCACUGCACUACAUGUGAUUCCACCGUGGACAGUAUUUACAUAG
ensembl:lncRNA